UACGUAGGGGGCAAGCGUUGUCCGGAAUCAUUGGGCGUAAAGAGCGCGUAGGCGGUCCGGUAAGUCCGCUCUGAAAGUCCGGGGCUCAACCCCGGGAGGCGGGCGGAUACUGUCGGGCUAGAGUCCGGAAGAGGCGAGUGGAAUUCCUGGUGUAGCGGUGAAAUGCGCAGAUAUCAGGAGGAACACCAAUGGCGAAGGCAGCUCGCUGGGACGGUACUGACGCUGAGGCGCGAAGGCUAGGGGAGCGAACGGG
rnacentral:rRNA from 1 species